CACGGCCACCAGGCACUGACACUGGUCUACUGUGGGAGUCACACAGCCCCUCCCACGGCCACCAGGCACUGUCACUGGUCUACUGUGGGAGUCACACAGCCCCUCCCACAGCUGACCUGUCCCAGGGUGUCUGCCCGUGUGUUCCAGGACCGAGAAGAAUGCACCAGCGCCUCCGCUAGAGCCACGACUCCCGCUGGCUGCCUGCUGUGAGAUAGCCACUGCAAGAGUAACACAAGCCAUUUCAAGAGUUCGGAUUCUUCAGCUCAGGGUUCCCAGCUGUGAUGCCAGUGCACCGCAUGUGCAGCAUCUACCUGGCUUUGAAUCAUCGCCUCACCCUGGGGAUCUUGGAGGAUAAGGGGAACCAAUUCAAACAUGAAGUUCAUGUCACCUGCUGUGCUGGGAAUGAUAGAGCCCUCUUCCUCUGACCUGAGUGUCUUGUGUUUCUGCCAGCAUCCUUGGAAAAGAGACAAGCUGGCUGUUUCUUAAAUGAAGGGUAUCAUAAACACAGCAAGCUUGGAAGCAAUAAUUUGAAGAUGUCAGAGCCAAAUGUCCUCGAGAAUAAUCACCAGGAGAGGAAGCAACCUGACUGUCACUGAUUGCUCUGGAGCAUCUACCAUGGACUUUAAAUGAAUGAAAAAUGCACUUUGAUUGUGUUUGAUUUGUUACCUGUUGCGUGUGUUUUUGUAGCACUUCAGCCUAUCCUGACUAAUACAGAAGCAUUCUACAAACUGAAUUCAAAUAGAGACUUUACCAACUAGUGUAGCACUAAAUGGC
ensembl:lncRNA